UGGGGAAUAUUGCACAAUGGGCGAAAGCCUGAUGCAGCAACGCCGCGUGAGUGAUGAAGGUCUUCGGAUUGUAAAGCUCUGUCUUUUGGGACGAUAAUGACGGUACCAAAGGAGGAAGCCACGGCUAACUACGUGCCAGCAGCCGCGGUAAUACGUAGGUGGCGAGCGUUGUCCGGAUUUACUGGGCGUAAAGGGUGCGUAGGCGGAUGUUUAAGUGAGAUGUGAAAUACCCGGGCUUAACUUGGGUGCUGCAUUUCAAACUGGAUAUCUAGAGUGCAGGAGAGGAGAAUGGAAUUCCUAGUGUAGCGGUGAAAUGCGUAGAGAUUAGGAAGAACACCAGUGGCGAAGGCGAUUCUCUGGACUGUAACUGACGCUGAGGCACGAAAGCGUGGGUAGCAAACAGGAUUAGAUACCCUGGUAGUCCACGCCGUAAACGAUGAGCACUAGGUGUAGGAGGUAUCGACCCCUUCUGUGCCGCAGUAAACACAUUAAGUACUCCGCCUGGGAAGUACGAUCGCAAGAUUAAA
rnacentral:rRNA from 1 species